ACUAAGAAACUGAGCAGUUGAGCAAAAUUGAUAAAAUUCAGUCACUUUUAGACUUAUAUCUUUGGUAACAUUCAGGGUAGAUCAAAUUAUUUGACCAAACUGUUUCCACCAGCAAGGUUUACACAGUCAUUACUAUUUAUCCUUAGUUUAAGAUAACAUUAACUUAAAACAUUAAACCAAAGUAAUUAAUUUACAUUGUUGUAUAAAAUCGUAUUAAAAGUGAGCUUUCAUUCAAUUGAUCGACAUUUGACUCGGCGUAAUUAACAAGUGACCCCUUAUCUGGUUAACCGCCAAAAGAGUUGCUGUUGUAAGAAGACGUAACAAAAUGGGAAAAAUUUUACCAAUAAUCUUCAUCUUUUUGAUUCUUUUCAAUACUUUAAUGGCUCAAUUGAGUUUCUCAAAGGAUUGGCGAGCCGGAGGUAAAAGGUCAUCACCAUCAUCAUCCAUUGAAUCCUGUGAUUUGAAUCGUCUGGCUUCUUUAUUGGAAACUCUAAUAAAAGAGGCCGAAAAAUUGACUCAAUGUACUCGAAGAUUGAACGCAAUAGAUGGUUUGACUGACAUUUUUCAAAGAUGAUUUUACAAACCUUAAACCUAAUUUCAAGUUUUCUGUCAAAACAUUAAACAUUGGUCCUAAAUCAACUUGGUCCAGCAAAAAAUUACCUGAUCAAUUAAACAGAAUGAGCUGUUUGUAUUUACAUCAAUCAAAAAUUACUGAUAAUUUAUUUAUUUGAAAACAAUACUCAAACAAGUUACCCUAAUGAACACACCGACUAUUUGUCAUAAUAAUGCUGAAACUUUAUCUGAUUGUAUACAACUAAAAAAGAGAAAAAUGAAUUAAAUGUAAAUCAAGUUAUUGUAUUCACUACAA